rnacentral:rRNA from 1 species
GACGAACGCUGGCGGCGUGCUUAACACAUGCAAGUCGAACGGAAAGGCCCUGCUUUUGUGGGGUGCUCGAGUGGCGAACGGGUGAGUAACACGUGAGUAGCCUGCCCUUGACUUUGGGAUAACUUCAGGAAACUGGGGCUAAUACCGGAUAGGAGCUCCUGCUGCAUGGUGGGGGUUGGAAAGUUUCGGCGGUUGGGGAUUGACUCGCGGCUUAUCAGCUUGUUGGUGGGGUAGUGGCUUACCAAGGCUUUGACGGGUAGCCGGCCUGAGAGGGUGACCGGCCACAUUGGGACUGAGAUACGGCCCAGACUCCUACGGGAGGCAGAAGUGGGGAAUAUUGCACAAUGGGCGGAAGCCUGAUGCAGAAACGCCGCGUGCGGGAUGACGGCCUUCGGGUUGUAAACCGCUUUCGCCUGUGACGAAGCGUGAGUGACGGUAAUGGGUAAAGAAGCACCGGCUAACUACGUG